rnacentral:snRNA from 1 species
AAUGCUUCUCGGCCUUUUGGCUAAGAUCAAAGUUUAAUUUCUGUUCUUAUCGAAUUGGCCAUCGAUAGAGACUCAGAUGAGUCUCGAUAAGGUUAUUUGGUUUUGGAUCUGGGUAAGCUCAAGGGCUUGGUCCUACUUGCCACGGGUUGUCCCAGCGUUGCACUGCUGCUGGGAACGGCCCUCCCCAA